rnacentral:lncRNA from 1 species
CAUUAGUAUGCCACCAUAUCACAGAGAGGCAUUCGUUGUUUGAUCAAAGCGUAAAUUGACUCGAUGUAAAACUGAUCGGUAUAUGUCUCGCUUGGCUUCCCAAUAACUCACUCAGGAUAUGUAGAUCCCCUUCAGACAACCAGGUAAAGCGAGAGCAAUGCUCUACACUCUGUUCCUCACACCCACGGGAAGAUGUAGGGUUCUCAGACUGGACUGUACAGAAGAAUCUCUGGUCACUUCGGUACAAUGGAGCUGGGUAUGGUGUCACAAGCUUGAAAUCCCAGAAUUCAAUUGCCUGAGGCAGGACUGCCAACUCAAGACCAGUUUGGGCUUCAUAGUAAGUUGAAGGCCUGUCAGCGUAAGAUCAUGAGGCUCUCUUCUCUCUGUGUCUCACUCUCUGUCUCUGUCUCUUUCUCUGUCUCUGUCUCUCUCAGUUUCUUUCUGUCUGUCUGUCUUUCUCUCACACACACACAUACACAAAUGCACAUGCAUGCACACACAAGAGUUGGGUGUUAUGGUAAAUAUCUGUAGAAGUUAGAAAGUGGAGGCAAGAAAGAUCAGAAUUCCAGGUCACCCAUAGCUACGUAGUAAGUUUAAGACCAGUCUGGGUUACACAGGAACACGUCUUAAAACAAAGCAAAACCAAACCACACAAACCAAACAUUCAUAAAAAUCAAAAAAAAAAAAAAAAAAAAAAAGAAAUCCCUUCCUUAGGUAUCAGAAUUUUGACGAAACUGGAGAGCUGAUGGGCAGAGAUGCCUUGUGACAGUGCUGAGCAAAUGGGAAAGGUGUUUAGGGUGAGCUGCCAUUUGGAAUUCUUGCAUGUGGGGAGAAGGUGGCUUAUUCCCGAGGAAAAAAGAAAUGUGUGUGUGUGUGUGUGUGUGUCUGUCUGUCUGUCUGUCUAUAUGUGUGUGUCUGUGUGUGUGUCUCUGUAUGUGUAUCCUCUGUGUGUGUGUGUGUGUGUGUGUCUGUCUGUCUGUCUGUCUGUCUGUCUGUCUGUCUGUCUGUCUGUCUAUGUGUGUGUGUCUGUGUGUGUGUCUCUGUAUGUGUAUCCUCUGUGUGUGUGUGUGUGUGUGUGUGUGUGUGUGUUUAGAGGGUGUAUGUAUCUCUCUCUAUGUGUGUGUGUAUCUGUGUGAGUAUAUGUAUCUGUGUGUGUGAGUGAAUGUAUCUGUGUGUGUGUGUGUCUGUCUGUCUGUCUGUCUAUCUAUGUGUGUGUGUCUGUGUGUGUGUCUCUGUAUGUGUAUCCUCUGUGUGUGUGUGUGUGUGUGUGUGUGUGUUUAGAGGGUGUAUGUAUCUCUCUCUAUGUGUGUGUGUAUCUGUGUGAGUAUAUGUAUCUGUGUGUGUGAGUGAAUGUAUCUGUGUGUGUGUGUGUGUCUGUCUGUCUAUCUAUGUGUGUGUGUCUGUGUGUGUGUCUCUGUAUGUGUAUCCUCUCUCUGUGUGUGUGUUUAGAGGGUGUAUGUAUCUCUCUCUAUGUGUGUGUGUGUCUGUGUGAGUAUAUGUAUCUGUGUGUGUGUGUGAGUGAGUGUAUGUAUCUGUACGUGUGUGUGUGUGUGUGUGUGUGUUGCAUUCACUUGCUUUAUCUUGUCCUCAGGUUCAGGAGGACUCUACACUAACCUCACCCUUAAAGCUUCCAAGAUGAUGAGAGGCUUCAGUGUCUUAAUAUGGCUUUGCUUCCUGUUUGGCAUGGCUUUGUUUCCUGCUUGGCAGCGCCUUAUCUCAAAGCUUCCUAACUUUCUGUGUGGGGAUUUAAGGAAUAACUAAUGGGAAUAUGGUCUAAAUGAGCCAACUCUGGUGAAUUCCCCAAGUGGAAGAAACAAGGGAGGGUGGGCAGGCUAAUUAGCUCAACUCUUCCUGAGUGUAGCCAGGCUGCCUGGAGACUGCUGUUUGCAGGGGUGAGAGAAGACUCCGGACGAGAGAAAAGCCCCCUGCUCUGUUUUCCUUGGCCACUUGCGCCACUUGUUUUAAAAGGUAGGAUUUUUCUCAGGAACUAUUCUUAGCUUUGUUCUCAGUCCUUCCCAGUAGAAAACUCCCAGCCUGGUCAUGUUUCAAGAUAUAACUUUGAUUUUUAUUGUUGCCAGAGAGGAGAUGCAGAAGUUCCAAAUAACAAUAAGAUGCCACUAAAAGUCCAAGGAGUAAGGGUCAUUUUUCCUUAAAAUUAAAAGUAGGUGAUUUGAGAGAGGAGACAGGAACAUACCUGAAGUUUCUAGGUCUCUCUACAGCUAUAUCAGUCAUAGAAACCAAAAUAAGAUGGUUCAUUAGGCAAAUGUUCUCUAUUUGGACAUGGCUGUAUAGCUAAUAGUGAAUAUUUAAAUGCAGCAUUAAUGAGCAAUCACUGCAGACCACUAGUUUACAUAUAUUGCUUUGUACUUAUUUCAUGACCUGAAAGGUAGCCAUUAAAUCCAUCUUACAAAAGAGAAAACAGAAAACCAGAGAGGUUAAAAAUUUGUCCUUUUUUUUUUCAGCUACUAACUGGCAGAACUUGGGUUCAAAUCCACAUCUGUAUCAUCCCAAAGCUUGGAUCCUUUUGAGUCCAGAGCCCUGGAAAUGACACACCCACGUUCAAGGAGGAUCUGCCCACUUCAAUUAACAGAGAGAAGAAAACCGUCCACAAGCAUGUCCAUAGGUCAACCUUAUCUAGGCAACCCCUCCAUGAGACCCUGUUCCUGCUGAUACUAAGGUGUGAUCAGUUAGCAAAAGCCAUCAUGCCACCCAAAACAGUUAUGUAUGAUCACAUCCCUCUAAGUGUGUUAAAACUCUGAGAAGAGUAAACUCGGGACUUCCCAACAAACACAGGGUCCUAACCUUCAUGACUAAAUUGGGCGAUGCUAACACAAACGUAGGAAAACAUUCAGAUAGAAACGUGGGCAUCGUGCCUACUCCGGAAACUCCAACUGCACCAGCCACCCUGGCACCAUCUGCAAGUGUGAUGUCCUGUCUGCCGACAAAGCCACCUAUCUGUGAUGCCAGCUACAUCCUUAAACACCUUCAGCAGUGUACCCAGCUGAAAGGCUGUUCUUGUGCUGUAGAACCUCAAAGGUAAAUCAGACCUUGAGUAACAAGCGUAUGUUAUCCAGGGGGCGGGGGGCAGGCAAGAUACUGGGCUGACAUUCAAAACAGAAUUUCCUUGCUCUCUGGGUGUCGACACUUGACUUUUGAUGUUCAGAAAAUCCUUUGUGUUGUUGAAUAAUGUUGAUUUUGGAGAAAAAAAAAAAAACCAGUUAUGUCUCUGGAGAUCCCUCCCUGGGAAUGUUACAGGAAUCAAGACAACAAUUUCACUAAGCCAGCAAGCCCCUGUUUCUG